UUUAUGUGAUGAAAUUGUAACCUGCCAGUUCUGCUUCUGAAUACCUUGAUGUAAAAAGUUACAACAUAUCUGAUAU
rnacentral:snoRNA from 1 species